UCUCCGACACGUCUCCCAUGUUCACCUCUGGCAGCUAACUGUGCGUGCAGGAUACCGGAAACAACGGCUUUCUACGCAACACAACCUUGUCGAUAAUGCAGAUGCCUUCUGGUUUUGCCCGAGCGAGGCGGUUAUGGAUUUGCCAGACGGCGGAUUUAUAAGACGGGAAACACUCCACAGAGACGCCUCUGGAUUACCUCAACAGCGUGCUUCUGCAAAGGUCAAACGUAUUUUAUUGUAUUCAGAAAAAUCAAUUAUGAGAUAAGAUCUGUGAGAAUGAAUAUGGAAGAUUAUGUACUAACGCACGCACACUUGUCAUAUUUUUACUGCACACACAAAGAACAGAACUGGCGUCUUUAUUUACUGGCAAUUGCUAAAUACUUUAAUGAAACAGAAAAAAA